ACUCCUACGGGAGGCAGCAGUGGGGAAUAUUGCACAAUGGGCGCAAGCCUGAUGCAGCCAUGCCGCGUGUGUGAAGAAGGCCUUCGGGUUGUAAAGCACUUUCAGUCGUGAGGAAGGUAGUGUAGUUAAUAGCUGCAUUAUUUGACGUUAGCGACAGAAGAAGCACCGGCUAACUCCGUGCCAGCAGCCGCGGUAAUACGGAGGGUGCGAGCGUUAAUCGGAAUUACUGGGCGUAAAGCGCAUGCAGGUGGUUUGUUAAGUCAGAUGUGAAAGCCCGGGGCUCAACCUCGGAAUUGCAUUUGAAACUGACAAACUAGAGUACUGUAGAGGGGGGUAGAAUUUCAGGUGUAGCGGUGAAAUGCGUAGAGAUCUGAAGGAAUACCAGUGGCGAAGGCGGCCCCCUGGACAAAGACUGACGCUCAGAUGCGAAAGCGUGGGGAGCAAACA
rnacentral:rRNA from 1 species